rnacentral:rRNA from 1 species
UACGUAGGGCGCAAGCGUUGUCCGGAAUUAUUGGGCGUAAAGAGCUCGUAGGCGGUUUGUCGCGUCUGUCGUGAAAGCCCACGGCUUAACCGUGGGUCUGCAGUGGGUACGGGCAGACUAGAGUGCGGUAGGGGAGAUUGGAAUUCCCGGUGUAGCGGUGGAAUGCGCAGAUAUCAGGAGGAACACCGAUGGCGAAGGCAGAUCUCUGGGCCGUAACUGACGCUGAGGAGCGAAAGCGUGGGGAGCGAACAGG